CUCAGUUCUCAACCUUCUCCGGUAUUCUGCAAACUGUGAAUGCCUCCUUGUGUUGGAUUCAUGAUGUUCACCAUACUGCACGGCCUACUUUUUUUCUUCGCAAGCUAUGGAAAGAAACUCUGUUCAGCUCAUGAAACGGACUGUUCACAUUUUUUGACAUUUGUGGAGGAAGCAGGGUAUCCUGGUAAUUUUAUUUUGCAGCUACUAUGCUCUCGUCAUAGAUACCUUGCAUCCUACUCAGUGAGUACAUUAUACGAUUUUGAUUUCCAGUAUCUGAUGGACAUUUUGACUCCCAUGUUGAAAUAUGAUUAUUUUAUCAUAUUUUCUCAUUACAACCUACAAUUUGUAUAUAUAGGCCCAACAAAGAGAGAAAUCUGAACUGACAAAGCUGCUCUAUAUGCAUCACAGGUCGAUAUUGUUGACCUUCACAAAUGACUUCAGUCAGUCAGUUUCAGUUGUACAUUUAGAUAAUUCCAAACAUUGAUGUCAACACACUGCUGUUCUUGUACCUAAUAAUAACUUUGAGUUAGUCAUGGCAAAAUGUGUGCAAAAUAUGUGAUGGUUGACUUCAGAGUAAACACUCAUUUUUGACAAAACCCUUCACAUUGAACUUGUAGUAGAGUUGUUUGCAUUAAUUGAACAGGCCAUCUUUGUUUUUUUGUAUGUGAAGGUCAUUAACAAGGAAUAAAAUGAUUGUUUUCAUAUUAAA